rnacentral:rRNA from 1 species
UACGGAGGGUGCGAGCGUUAAUCGGAAUUACUGGGCGUAAAGCGCACGUAGGUGGUUGCGUAAGUCGGAUGUGAAAUCCCUGGGCUUAACCUGGGAACUGCAUUCGAUACUGUGCGACUAGAGUGCGGUAGAGGGGGGUAGAAUUCCUAGUGUAGCGGUGAAAUGCGUAGAUAUUAGGAGGAAUACCAGUGGCGAAGGCGGCCCCCUGGACUGACACUGACACUGAGGUGCGAAAGCGUGGGGAUCAAACAGG